UCUACACCCAAUAUUUGUAUGUGGCACAAAUAAAUAAGAUAACUAAAAAAUUGAAACAAUCAUAAUAAAAAUCAUAGUUAUGUAAAUUUUAUUCAUAAAAAACUAAACUUAUAAAUAUUUCUAAUUAAAAUGGUGAAAAAUAACUAAUAAGAUUGUAACUAAAUUUUAAAUAUGUCAUAUAAGAGUAUAUAAAAUGACAUUAACCAUAAAUUAUAUAGAUAAUAGUAAAUAGCUUUUAAAUAUAGUUAGAUUUUAAAAUAUUUGAUAAAUUAGAUACAAAUUAUUUAAUUAACUUGAUUUACUAAUAUUAUUAACUUAUGAGAUUGUAAAAUAACAUAUAAAAUGCAACCAGUAAAAAGAGAAUGAAAAAUGGAAAACUAGAGGCAGGGGUGAGAAUCGAACACUUUCCCAGUGGAGCUAUUGGUGACACCAGUAACCAAUUUACUUAAUGGAUCAGCAAAGAUGAUACCUCCCUAGGAAUUUUCUAAUAAUCAGUAUGUGGCACAUGCCCAAUCCUUUGACUAUCUAGAUCCGCCCCUGGACAUGUGAAAGUUUUGAGUGGAGUUCGGCCGUCCGAUGCUAUCUUAGUUUUCUCGAAUUUUAUACUACUUCUAUUUAUAAUCAACAUGCACUUAGAGUUCACGUAUGCGUGGAGUUAUGUCAGAUGAUGUUUCAAUUGUGCUGACCACUACUCAGCUUUAGGCUCAAUUGCCAUACUAUGGACAUGGCUUAUCUCAAGCGAGAAUGUAAGAAAAAGGUAUGAUAUUCGUUUCUCUCUUGGAGUGAAUACCCUCUCUCUCUUUGUUAAUUUGUUGAUAAUCAAAGCAAGAAAAAAACCUAACUUGAGUUUGUAAGCAUAGUGAAUGAUUUAAUAGGCGAUGAUGGUCCAUGCCAACAAGAAUAUAGGAAAUGAGACAGAGCAGGUGAAGCUUUUGAGAAAAUUCAAAACCCAUAUGAGGUAAUGAUUGAUAAUGUGUUUCAUCAGUUUGUGUGCAUCAAGCUCCUCCAUCUCUGGUCUCUCUAUAUAUAUGGCCUCUAGCUAGGUAUUGCUUGAAUCUAUACUACGCAAAUCAUAUUGCCGAUGAAUUAAAGAAGGAAGAACAACUAAUUAAUCUAUUUUUCGGAGUUUUAAAAUUUGAAAGCUGGGGCUUUGGAGGCUCAGAGAGUGAAGGAGAGGAAGCUUCAAGCGAGUGUUAAAAAUAUGGAAAACGGCAUUACUUGCUGACUGUUUUGCUCAGUUCUGGUACGGUCAGUGUGAUUCAUGCAGUGUCAUUUUAUGACUACAUUUCUGCUGCCUCUUUGUUUGUGUUAAUUUUUGCCCAUCGCCUGAUAUGCAUGAGCUCUUCACACAUCGACAAUAUUUUCUUUUGUAUGAAGGGAUCUUUAAUCAUUUCGAGUUGAAAUACUUUUACUAUUUGCCAGCAAUCUCUUCUUCUUAUAUUACAACUGAACUUAGCUAAAAAGGUUUAUGUACUCACUCACUCAUGUAGGCCAAUUCAAAAGCAUCAAAUCAUAUAAUUAGAAAGAAAAUUUAGAGAAGUUUGAUGUUCUGGGGCAAGUCGCUAAAAUAUGUAACUAUGCGAUCUUUUCAUAUGGGUUUAGUUUAUUUUAUUUUGGCGACAAAUUAUUAUUAUUAUUAUUUAUCUCUUAUGGAUACUUUAUAGAUGAACACGUAUUCCUUCGUUUGUGAUUUUUAAAUCGGAUUACAUUUGAAUAUAAAUGUGAAAGUUGAAAGAUUUAAAAGUUAAAGAGUCAUAUUAAAUUGGUGACGAACUUCUCUCAAGUAAUGAAAUGUAUAGAAAAGAGUUAGUUGAGAGGGACCUACAAAAGAGUCAUAUUCAAUUUUUUUUUUCUUUCAAAUAGUUUAAACCGACCUACAAAAAAAAAUCAAUGAUUCGAAUAUUGAAUUGAAAACCUUCAGUUGUAAGCAAAACCCAUCUCAGUUUUACAUCGAAAAAUAAAUAAAUCUAAAAGGGCACAAAAGGGUUUAUGUGUGGGUGUGUGCUAAUGCCAUAUGUUUUGUUUUGAUUGAAUUCACAGCAUAUUUACCGAGAAGAAGAUGAGAUCUGAUCGUCCUCUUUUUACCUUCUUGAUCUUCUUGAACCAUAUGUGAUUGUU